GGGCUGGCUUUAGCCCAGUGGUUCCUUCGACUUUGGCCCAACCGCUUGGGCCGCUGGCUUCCAUAGGUCUAGUGGUUCGAGACCUGUGGGUGCUCUCCAGUCCUUUA
rnacentral:vault_RNA from 1 species